GACGAACGCUGGCGGCGUGCUUAACACAUGCAAGUCGAACGGAAAGGCCCUGCUUUUGUGGGGUGCUCGCGUGGCGAACGGGUGAGUAACACGUGAGUAACCUGCCCUUGACUUUGGGAUAACUUCAGGCAACUGGGGCUAAUACCGGAUAGGAGCUCCUGCUGCAUGGUGGGGGUUGGAACGUUUCGGCGGUUGGGGAUGGACUCGCGGCUUAUGAGCUUGUUGGUGGGGGAGUGGCUUACCAAGGCUUUGGCUGGUAGCCGGCCUGAGAGGGUGACCGGCGACAUUGCGCCUGCGGUACGGCCCAGACUCCUACGGGGGGCAGCAGUGGGGAGUAUUGCACAAUGGGCGCAAGCCUGAUGCAGCGGCGCCGCGUGCGUAAUGACGGCCUUCGGGUUGUAAACCGCUUUCGCCUGUGACGAAGCGUUAGUGACGGUAAUGGGUAAAGAAGCACCGGCUAACUACGUG
rnacentral:rRNA from 1 species